GAUGAACGCUGGCGGCGUGCCUAAUACAUGCAAGUCGAGCGAACGGACUAGAAGCUUGCUUCUCUGAUGUUAGCGGCGGACGGGUGAGUAACACGUGGAUAACCUACCUAUAAGACUGGGAUGACUUCGGGAAACCGUAGCUAAUACCGGAUAAUAUUUUGAACCGCAUGGUUCAAAAGUGAAAGACGGUCUUGCUGUCACUUAUAGAUGGAUCCGCGCUGCAUUAGCUAGUUGGUAAGGUAACGGCUUACCAAGGCAACGAUGCAUAGCCGACCUGAGAGGGUGAUCGGCCACACUGGAACUGAGACACGGUCCAGACUCCUACGGGAGGCAGCAGUAGGGAAUCUUCCGCAAUGGGCGAAAGCCUGACGGAGCAACGCCGCGUGAGUGAUGAAGGUCUUCGGAUCGUAAAACUCUGUUAUUAGGGAAGAACAUAUGUGUAAGUAACUGUGCACAUCUUGACGGUACCUAAUCAGAAAGCCACGGCUAUCUACGUG
rnacentral:rRNA from 1 species